rnacentral:snRNA from 1 species
AUGUAAUUCAAAUACCUCUCAGGGCUUUGAAUAAGACCCAAUGAACAAUUUUUUGAGACCCUAUUCUCAGUAAUAGGGUG